UUUCCAAGCUCCAUGGAAAAAACAAGCCAUGGCGCGUUGUAGACUAAAGGGGCGUUAUCUUGGACAGGCCGAGUAUAGAUCCGUUGGAACACGGUAUCAUAGAGGGUGAGAAUCCCGUCUGUGACUCGGAGAUCUGGCCAUAUACGUUACGCUUCCAAAGAGUCGGGUUGUUUGGGAAUGCAGCCCAAAAUGGGUGGUAAAUUUCAUCUAAGGCUAAAUAUUGGCACGAGACCGAUAGCGAACAAGUACCAUGAGGGAAAGAUGAAAAGAACUUUGAAAAGAGAGUCAAAAAGUACGUGAAACCGUUAAAGGGGAAACGAAUGGAGCUAGCAUUUGUGGCUUCCACAAUCAGUCAGAUGGUAGGCGACUGAACGCGUGGGCGUAGACCUUGGUGGGUAACCACCGGGGCAUGAACGCGUGUUCACGUAACGCUUGGCAGCUGGUGCACUUGUGGAUUUCACAGGCCAACAUCGGUUCUGCCCGGGAGAUAGGAGCCCAGAGAAGGUAGUUGCGGCGCCUCGGUGUCGUAAUGUUAUAACUCUGGGCGAGUGUUCCGAGCAGGACCGAGGAGAAGCAGCACGCACAAAUUCGGAGAGCUACCGCUGGGGUUGCAGGUGUGGGGGAACUGCUGCGUGUCGCUUUAUUGCGUGCGCAGCCAGUGUCUCAUGCCGUCAAUUUGGGGCCGGCUCACUCCUCUCGGGGGGAGAGACGGGCCCAAAGAUCAGCAGCCUCAUACGGGGUGUACCCAGACCACGUGCUUGUGAUGUUGGCGAAAAAUGGCUCCAUCCGACCCGUCUUGAAACACGGACCAAGGAGUCUAACAUAUACGCGAGUCUUUGGGUUAAAAGCCCGCAGGCACAAUGAAAGUGAAGGCACACAUGGUGUGCUGAGGUGAGAAGUCGCCGGGUGCGAGGCCUCUCGGGGUCUCGCAGACGAGCGACAGCAUCAUCGACCGAUCCGGAUGGUUCUAUCCUGAAAGAUUUGAGUAAGAGCGUAUCUGUUGGGACCCGAAAGAUGGUGAACUAUGCCUGAACAGGGUGAAGUCUGAGGAAACUCAGAUGGAAGCUCGUAGCGAUUCUGACGUGCAAAUCGAUCGUCUGAUUUGGGUAUAGGGGCGAAAGACUAAUCGAACUAUCUAGUAGCUGGUUCCCUCCGAAGUUUCCCUCAGGAUAGCUGGAACUAACAGACUCGAAGCAGUUUUAUCAGGUAAAGCGAAUGAUUAGAGGCCUUGGGGUUGAAAUAACCUCAACCUAUUCUCAAACUUUAAAUAGGUAAGAAGCCUGGCUUGCUUAAUUGAAGCCAGGCACAACUGAAUGCAAGUUCCUAGUGGGCCAUUUUUGGUAAGCAGAACUGGCGAUGCGGGAUGAACCGAACGCAAAGUUAAAGUGCCAAAGUUCACGCUCACCUAGAACCCAGAAAAGGUGUUGGCUGAUGAAGACAGCAGGACGGUGGCCAUGGAAGUCGGAACCCGCUAAGGAGUGUGUAACAACUCACCUGCCGAAUCAGCCAGCCCUGAAAAUGGAUGGCGCUCAAGCGUGACACUCAUACUUUGCCGUUGCCUUUUUUUUCUCACGAAAAAUAAAAAUCGCAACGAGUAGGAGGGCGUGGAGGUCGUGAAGCAGCUUUGGGCGUGAGCCUGAGUGAAACGGCC
rnacentral:rRNA from 1 species